AGAGUUUGAUCCUGGCUCAGGAUGAACGCUGGCGGCGUGCCUAAUACAUGCAAGUCGAACGCUUCACUUCGGUGAAGAGUGGCGAACGGGUGAGUAAUACAUAAGUAACCUGGCAUCUACAGGGGGAUAACUGAUGGAAACGUCAGCUAAGACCGCAUGGGUGUAGAGAUCGCAUGAACUCUAUAUGAAAAGUGCUACGGGACUGGUAGAUGAUGGACUUAUGGCGCAUUAGCUGGUUGGUAGGGUAACGGCCUACCAAGGCGACGAUGCGUAGCCGACCUGAGAGGGUGACCGGCCACACUGGGACUGAGACACGGCCCAGACUCCUACGGGAGGCAGCAGUAGGGAAUUUUCGGCAAUGGGGGAAACCCUAACCGAGCAACGCCGCGUGAAGGAAGAAGUAAUUCGUUAUGUAAACUUCUGUCAUAGAGGAAGAACGGUGGAUAUAGGGAAUGAUAUCCAAGUGACGGUACUCUAUAAGAAAGCCACGGCUAACUACGUGCCAGCAGUCGCGGUAAUACGUAGGUGGCGAGCGUUAUCCGGAAUUAUUGGGCGUAAAGAGGGAGCAGGCGGCACUAAGGGUCUGUGGUGAAAGAUCGAAGCUUAACUUCGGUAAGCCAUGGAAACCGUAGAGCUAGAGUGUGUGAGAGGAUCGUGGAAUUCCAUGUGUAGCGGUGAAAUGCGUAGAUAUAUGGAGGAACACCAGUGGCGAAGGCGACGAUCUGGCGCAUAACUGACGCUCAGUCCCGAAAGCGUGGGGAGCAAAUAGGAUUAGAUACCCUAGUAGUCCACGCCGUAAACGAUGAGUACUAAGUGUUGGGUGUCAAAGCUCAGUGCUGCAGUUAACGCAAUAAGUACUCCGCCUGAGUAGUACGUUCGCAAGAAUGAAACUCAAAGGAAUUGACGGGGGCCCGCACAAGCGGUGGAGCAUGUGGUUUAAUUCGAAGCAACGCGAAGAACCUUACCUGCUCUUGACAUCCCAUUCAAUAGAGGGUAAUGCCUCUAGCCCUUCGGGGGAAUGGAGACAGGUGGUGCAUGGUUGUCGUCAGCUCGUGUCGUGAGAUGUUGGGUUAAGUCCCGCAACGAGCGCAACCCUUAUUGUCAGUAGCCAGCAGGUGAAGCUGGGCACUCUGAUGAGACUGCCGGGGAUAACCCGGAGGAAGGUGGGGAUGACGUCAAAUCAUCAUGCCCCUUAUGAGCAGGGCUACACACGUGCUACAAUGGCGUAAACAGAGGGAAGCGAAGGAGUGAUCUGGAGCAAAUCUCAAAAAUAACGUCUCAGUUCGGAUUGUAGUCUGCAACUCGACUACAUGAAGCUGGAAUCGCUAGUAAUCGCAGAUCAGAAUGCUGCGGUGAAUACGUUCCCGGGUCUUGCACACACCGCCCGUCA
rnacentral:rRNA from 1 species